AAUAGCGUAUAUUAAGUUGCUGCAGUUAAAAAGCUCGUAGUUGGAUUUCUGGCUUGAUGUACCUGUCCCUCUUGGGUUAACCAGGCUGUGUGACGGAGUAUGUCUGCCAUCCUUCUAGAGAAUACAAGCUAUCCUUCACUGGACCGGUUUGUGUCAUCUAGAUCUUUUACUUUGAAAAAAUUAGAGUGUUUCAAGCAGGCGUUUUGCUAUGAAUACAUUAGCAUGGAAUAAUGAGUUAGGACUUCGGUUCUAUUUUGUUGGUUUCUAGGACUGAAGUAAUGAUUGAUAGGGAUAGUUGGGGGUGCUAGUAUUCAGCGGCCAGAGGUGAAAUUCUUGGAUUCGCUGAAGACUAACUUAUGCGAAAGCAUUCACCAAGGAUGUCUUCUUUAAUCAAGAACGAAAGUUGGGGGAUCGAAGACGAUCAGAUACCGUCGUAGUCUCAACCAUAAACUAUACCGACUAGGGAUGAGUGAACGUUGCAUUUUCGACUUCAUUCGCACCUUAUGAGAAAUCAAAGUCUUUGGGUUCCGGGGGGAGUAUGGUCGCAAGGCUGAAACUUAAAGGAAUUGACGGAAGGGCACCACCAGGAGUGGAGCCUGCGGCUUAAUUUGACUCAACACGGGAAAACUUACCAGGUCCAGACAUAGUGAGGAUUGACAGAUUGAAGAUCUUUCUUGA
rnacentral:precursor_RNA from 1 species